rnacentral:lncRNA from 1 species
CCCUAAGUUGUCAUAUGUGUUUAACUGAAGAGUGCUGAGGACAAAGGCUGUAUUGAUAUGACAUGCUAAAAAUGCAUUGAAUUUUAAAAAUCUAUAAAUAUUGUACUUUUUGUCAAUAAAAAUAACAUUUUAUCAACUUGACUCUUUGUCAAGUUUUGUAACUGAAUUACAUAUUAUGUGAAAACUAAUCAAAUGUUCAAAAACUGGCCUCCACCAGUUGAAAUGUAAAAUGCAAGCAUGGAAUUUUACUUGAAAGUGGAAAUCAAACUAACUUUAGUUAUAGUCUAUGUAUGAAACAUAUAUUACAUGUAUAUAUAUAGUAUGCAUAUUUAUAAUAUAGCUAUAAGUAAUUAAUCACAUUUUAAAAUAAAGAUUACACCUUUGUUUACCAUUCUAGUUUUGAAUUCUUUUAUUUAGCUUGCAAGCUUGAAACUGCCUUGGAAUUUUAAACUUUUGAAAGAGUCAAGAAUUUAUUUUGGAAAUUUUGCAUGUCAUCAUCAAACCAUCUCCCCUCCCCUC